rnacentral:rRNA from 1 species
GUAACUCGUAGUCAACCUGCCCUGGAGACAUGGACAACCCCGGGAAACUGGGAUUAAUCCGUGAUAGGUCAUCUCAUCUGGAAGGAGAGAUGGCUUAAAGGGGUACGCGGGCUUCUUCUGCGUAUUCGCUCCAGGAUGGGACUGCGUCCGAUCAGGCUGUUGGCGGGGUAAUGGCCCACCAAACCUGUAACCGGUACGGGCCUUGAGAGAGGUGGCCCGGAGAUGGACACUGAGAGAAGGGUCCAGGUCCUACGGGGCGCAGCAGGCGCGAAACCUUCGCAAUGCGCGAAAGCGUGACGAGGUUAAUCCGAGUGGCCCCCGCUGAGGGGGUCUUUUGUCAGCUGUAAAUAGGCGGGCGAAUAAGGGGAGGGCAAGCCUGGUGUCAGCCGCCGCGGUAAUACCAGCUCCUCGAGUGGUCGGGGCGAUUAUUGGGCCUAAAGCAUCCGUAGCCGGUUCCGUAGGUCCUCUGUUAAAUCCACCCGCUUAACGGGUGACCUGCAGAGGAUACCGCGGGACU